UAUAAUCAUAUAUGAAUUUGAGAAAAUAAAAACUUCAAAUUAUAUUUUCAAGAAAAAUAAUUGCAUCAAGAAAAUAAUUGAUAUAAAGAAAACAUCCAAGAAAGAAAACAUUCCAUCAUCAGUUUAACAGCACCAUCUACGCAAUAGCAAAUACAAAAGCAAGCGGGAACAAACGUUUAUUUAAAAAUAGUGAUCCCGUGCAUCGAAUGUUAGAAUAAAUGGAACCAUUAGCUACACAGCAAAAAAUAGAAGCGGUGGUAAGUAUUUUGUUUAUCUUUUCCGUGUUUAAUUUUUCCACAAUACCCAUGAAUGUUGUUUAUGUUUUAGAAUGUGGAUAUGGAUCAAGAUACCAUUCUUUUCAUGAUAAGUUUGAUCGAAGAAAGAAGCUGCAUAUGGAACCGAAAAAAUUCAGGCUUUCAAAAUAAAACCAAACAGCAUGACGCAUGGCGUGAAAUUAGUGUAAUUUUAGACACACCUGUCGACUGUUUGGUGAGGAAAUGGAAGUCACUUUGUGGCUCUUUCCGUUUCUACCAUGCAAAGGAACAAAAAAGUAAAGUGACUGGUUCAUCUUCAUCGAGCAUAUAUAAACCAAAAUGGUUUGCAUACAGAGCAAUGCAUUUUAUGCAUCAUGUUAAGGAAACUGCAUCAACAAUGGACACCCUCUUUCGGACUAUUCAAACCGCAUAACUGAGUUCGACAGAUAUCCUUCUGAAGAUUGGCUAAAGCAGAGAAACGGUAAUUUUCUCAAUUUCUUGUUUAUAGAAUCAACAUAAAUAUAGUGGAGCAUCGUUUAUCCAGGUACCUUUCAUACGGUUGUCCGUGUAUUUGUGCUAUUUAGAAAUGACAGCUCAAUACAAAAUUGGCAUCCUUUGCAAGAUGGGAAGGAACUGGCCAUCAUCAUCAUCAUCAAACCCUUUUACAUCACACCAAGAGACUUCAGACAUAGAAAUACCUAUAUUUCUGGAUCCAAAUUCUCCAAUAGACGUCAGGGCUACUAUUACGCCAGAUAAUUUAGAACAAACUGCUGAAUUGGGGGUUUUACCAAAUACUCCAAUACAAAACAUACAACACCCAGUUAUGUCGGAGUCGUCAACAAGAAUAUCAAUCAGUAAUAUACUAAACAACCAACCAUCCAUACAACAGUUAACGCAGGAAGCUCGGACACAAUCAUCUACUCCACCAUCUUCGGUUUCACAAACAUCCCGAUUGCAGCCUUCCGAACCAUCAAACCGUCGAAAUCGUCGAAAUUGAAAUGUCUACUGCAUUUUUACAAAUGAUGAAGAGAGUUCCAGCCGAAAGAAGACAAAAUACUUUUGGGAAGGUCCAGGAAGUAUUUGCAAAUACAUACAACCAUGACGAAGACGUAUUGAAGUAUGGAAGGGCGCUGUGCAACUUGCUACAGUUGAUGGACUCUUCAAACAGAAAAGAAACUUUCAACCAACUUCUAAGAAUUAUAAAUGAUCGUUUAGGUGAAUAUUAAGUUUGAUGAAUUAAACUUAGAAUUAAUUCAUAAUUUAGAAUUAAAAAUGAAAUAUAAAUAAAAUUGAACUUUGCAGUAACACUAUGUUGCUUAACACAUGCUUACCUGAACAAAUUCGCUAAGUGCAGUUAUAAUGGCCUUACAUACUUGAUGAAUAAUACGACUAAUUGAUCUAACAGACACCUGAAAUAAAAUUAUGAACUUGCUACUUGCUAUGAACUGUGCUGAUUGUUCUUUUAUUUCUUACCUGGAACAAAUAAUGAAGACUUGCAAAGCUAUCACCUGUCGCAAGGUAUCUUAAAGUUAUUAAGAGCCUUUCUUUAGGAGUAA